GGCGUUGUGGCAGCAGAGUGGUCUAAUGCGAUUGACUAGAAAUCAAUUCCCUUCGGGGGCGACGGUUCGAAUCCGUCCGACGUCG
rnacentral:tRNA from 1 species